GGGCUGCUGUGUUGAGAAUUCCUGUUCUGUAUGGGGAGGUUGAAAAGCUUGAAGAAAGUGCCGUGACUGUUAUGUUCGACAAGGUGCAGUUCAGCAAUAAGUCAGCGAACAUGGACCAUUGGCAGCAGAGAUUCCCCACACAUGUGAAAGACGUAGCCAGUGUGUGCCGGCAGCUGGCAGAGAAGAGGAUGCUGGUGAGUGUUGAGAGAGGGACCCUGACUUCUGUCUUGGUGAAAGGUCUGCUACUCUUGCGUGUUUGGACUUACGUGGACAUAGAUUAUCAUAGACUGAAAGUUGAAC
rnacentral:lncRNA from 1 species